UAGGGAAUCUUCGGCAAUGGGGGGAACCCUGACCGAGCAACGCCGCGUGAGUGAAGAAGGUUUUCGGAUCGUAAAGCUCUGUUGUUAAGGAAGAACGAGUGUGAGAAUGGAAAGUUCAUGCUGUGACGGUACUUAACCAGAAAGGGACGGCUAACUACGUGCCAGCAGCCGCGGUAAUACGUAGGUCCCGAGCGUUGUCCGGAUUUAUUGGGCGUAAAGCGAGCGCAGGCGGUUAGAAAAGUCUGAAGUGAAAGGCAGUGGCUCAACCAUUGUAGGCUUUGGAAACUGUUUAACUUGAGUGCAGAAGGGGAGAGUGGAAUUCCAUGUGUAGCGGUGAAAUGCGUAAAUAUAUGGAGGAACACCGGUGGCGAAAGCGGCUCUCUGGUCUGUAACUGACGCGGAGGCUCGAAAGCGUGGGGAGCGAACAGG
rnacentral:rRNA from 1 species